UGCCAGCCGCCGCGGUAACACGUAGGGACCAAGCGUUGUCCGGAUUUAUUGGGCGUAAAGAGCUCGUAGGCUGUUUCGUAAGUCGGAUGUGAAAACUCAGGGCUCAACCCUGAGACGCCAUCUGAUACUGCGAUGACUAGAGUCCGGUAGGGGAGCAUGGAAUUCCUGGUGUAGAGGUGAAAUUCGUAGAUAUCGAGAGGAACACCAGUAGCGAAGGCGGUGCUCUGGGCCGGUACUGACGCUGAGGAGCGAAAGCGUGGGGAGCAAACAGGAUUAGAUA
rnacentral:rRNA from 1 species